GCAAGUCGAACGGUAACAGGUCUUCGGAUGCUGACGAGUGGCGAACGGGUGAGUAAUACAUCGGAACGUGCCCGAUCGUGGGGGAUAACGCAGCGAAAGCUGUGCUAAUACCGCAUACGAUCUACGGAUGAAAGCGGGGGAUCGCAAGACCUCGCGCGGACGGAGCGGCCGAUGGCAGAUUAGGUAGUUGGUGGGAUAAAAGCUUACCAAGCCGACGAUCUGUAGCUGGUCUGAGAGGACGACCAGCCACACUGGGACUGAGACACGGCCCAGACUCCUACGGGAGGCAGCAGUGGGGAAUUUUGGACAAUGGGCGCAAGCCUGAUCCAGCCAUGCCGCGUGCAGGAUGAAGGCCUUCGGGUUGUAAACUGCUUUUGUACGGAACGAAAAAGCUCUCUCUAAUACAGGGGGUGAAUGACGGUACCGUAAGAAUAAGCACCGGCUAACUACGUGCCAGCAGCCGCGGUAAUACGUAGGGUGCAAGCGUUAAUCGGAAUUACUGGGCGUAAAGCGUGCGCAGGCGGUUAUGUAAGACAGAGGUGAAAUCCCCGGGCUCAACCUGGGAACUGCCUUUGUGACUGCAUAGCUGGAGUGCGGCAGAGGGGGAUGGAAUUCCGCGUGUAGCAGUGAAAUGCGUAGAUAUGCGGAGGAACACCGAUGGCGAAGGCAAUCCCCUGGGCCUGCACUGACGCUCAUGCACGAAAGCGUGGGGAGCAAACAGGAUUAGAU
rnacentral:rRNA from 1 species